UACGGAGGAUGCGAGCGUUAUCCGGAUUUAUUGGGUUUAAAGGUGCGUAGGCGGACGCUUAAGUCAGCGGUAAAAUUGCGGGGCCCAACCUCGUCGAGCCGUUGAAACUGGGUGCCUUGAGUGGGCGAGAAGUACGCGGAAUGCGUGGUGUAGCGGUGAAAUGCAUAGAUAUCACGCAGAACUCCGAUUGCGAAGGCAGCGUACCGGCGCCCAACUGACGCUGAAGCACGAAGGCGUGGGUAUCGAACAGG
rnacentral:rRNA from 1 species